rnacentral:rRNA from 1 species
CAUGUCUCAGUACAAGCCGAAUUAAGGUGAAACCGCGAAAGGCUCAUUAAAUCAGUUAUGGUUCCUUAGGUCGUACACAAGUUACUUGGAUAACUGUGGUAAUUCUAGAGCUAAUACAUGCAAACAGAGCCCCGACCGGAGACGGAAGGGGCGCUUUUAUUAGAACAAAACCAAUCGGUGGCGGUGCCGCGAGGCGUCGUCACCGUACAAGUUGAUGAAGCUGAAUAACUCCCAGCUGAUCGCACGGUCUCGCACCGGCGACGUAUCUUUCAAAUGUCUGACUUAUCAACUGUCGAUGGUAGGUUCUGCGCCUACCAUGGUUGUAACGGGUAACGGGGAAUCAGGGUUCGAUUCCGGAGAGGGAGCCUGAGAAACGGCUACCACAUCCAAGGAAGGCAGCAGGCGCGCAAAUUACCCACUCCCGGCACGGGGAGGUAGUGACGAAAAAUAACGAUACGGGACUCAUCCGAGGCCCCGUAAUCGGAAUGAGUACACUCUAAAUCCUUUAACGAGGAUCAAUUGGAGGGCAAGUCUGGUGCCAGCAGCCGCGGUAAUUCCAGCUCCAAUAGCGUAUAUUAAAGUUGUUGCGGUUAAAAAGCUCGUAGUCGAAUCUGUGUCGUGCGCCGCCGGUUCAUCGCUCGCGGUGUCAACUGGCGAGUCGUAUGACGUCCUGCCGGUGGACUUAGCUCGGCCCGCGAGGGUCGGGCGGUCCAACUUUUCAAAUCCCACCGCGGUGCUCUUCGCUGAGUGUCGAGGUGGGCCGGCACGUAUACUUUGAACAAAUUAGAGUGCUUAAAGCAGGCUAAAAUCUCGCCUGAAUAUCUUGUGCAUGGAAUAUUGGAAUAGGACCUCGGUUCUAUUUUGUUGGCUUUCGGAACCCCGAGGUAAUGAUUAAUAGGAACGGAUGGGGGCAUUCGUAUUGCGACGUUAGAGGUGAAAUUCUUGGAUCGUCGCAAGACGAACUUAAGCGAAAGCAUUUGCCAAAAACGCUUUCAUUGAUCAAGAACGAAAGUUAGAGGUUCGAAGGCGAUCAGAUACCGCCCUAGUUCUAACCAUAAACGAUGCCAGCUAGCGAUCCGCCGACGUUCCUCCGAUGACUCGGCGGGCAGCUUCCGGGAAACCAAAGCUUUUGGGUUCCGGGGGAAGUAUGGUUGCAAAGCUGAAACUUAAAGGAAUUGACGGAAGGGCACCACCAGGAGUGGAGCCUGCGGCUUAAUUUGACUCAACACGGGAAAACUCACCAGGCCCGGACACCGGAAGGAUUGACAGAUUGAGAGCUCUUUCUUGAUUCGGUGGGUGGUGGUGCAUGGUCGUUCUUAGUUGGUGG